CCCGCCACCACGCCCAGGUAAUUUUUGUUUAGUAGAGACGGGGUUUCACCAUGUUGGCCUGGCUGGUCUCGAACUCCUGACCUCAGGUGAUCCACCCACCUCGGCCUCCCAAAGUUGUGGGAUUGCAGGCGUGAGCCACUGCGCCUGGCCUAAUUUUUCAAUUUUUUGGUGGAGAUAGGGUUUCACCAUGUUGGCCAGGCUGGAGUUUUGCCUGUUCUAGAAGCUUGUAUCAGUCAUACAACACCCCUUUGAGGAACCGUUUGAGGUGUGGCACGAUACAGCAAGUCAGCUGCCAAAGAGGGGCUUAGCCACAGGAAGUGCGUGCCCAGAACGCAGUUCUAUGAGGCUGGCUGCCCUGUUUGACAACUGAGGCCCGCAUCUUCCCCGGAAUCACCGACGUGUGGCUCUGAGCCCUGUCCCAGGGAUUUUCUCCAUCAGAGAAGAGGAGCACUUUGAGCUUUGAGAGGAGCAGCCCUCUGCAAGUGAAGUGGAAAAAAAGGAAGCAGGCGAGGAGGCCCAUCCAGACCCUCCCCCAAGACCCUUGCUGAAAUGGCUGGGAUGCGGCGUGCAGAAGCUCUCCUUUCCUUCACAGCCCCUGGCUUUCCAAGAGUCCCUGCCCACCCAGAUGCCCGCUGGCAGAUGCAGCCUCAUCUCAAGGACACUGCUUGCUGGAUAAAUCCCUCACCACCCUAGAGACAGCCCACGGUCCUGAGACAAGGAUGCGGGCCAGGCUUGUUGCACGUAAGCGCCUCCCGCAGAAACCAGUGAGGCCGGAGUUCCAGAGGAAAUGAUGUAGGGACAGAGGCAGAGGGCCUCCAGGAGGCACCAGCCCCAGAGUCUUCCCUAGAAUCAGACUUUAAGCACAAGCAGGGAGGGAAAGCACUUGAGCAGUGCCCGUCCCUGCAUACCUGGCCUCUGCUGGAACCCAUGCAGGGACAGGACACUUCUUUAUCAGCAAUCCUGUUCCUCUCCUGGGCAGCUUCAACCUGAACAUCCUCCUUCACCUUGAGCUAAAAUGGGUUUCUUGUCACCCUUGCCCAUCAAACCUGGCCUUGCCCUCAGGAACCACACAGGACAAGCCUAAUACUUCCUUCUUGUGGCAACACUUUAGCAAUUGAGACCUGGCUGUCAGGUCCUCCAAAUAAACAUUUG
rnacentral:lncRNA from 10 species